CGANAGAGCUACCAUGCAAGUCUCUUGAUCCUUCGGGUGAAGGUGGCGGACGGGUGAGUAACGCGUAAAGAACUUGCCUUACAGACUGGGACNACAUUUGGAAACGAAUGCUAAUACCGGAUAUUAUGACUGAGUCGCAUGAUUUGGUUAUGAAAGCUAUAUGCGCUGUGAGAGAGCUUUGCGUCCCAUUAGUUAGUUGGUGAGGUAACGGCUCACCAAGACGAUGAUGGGUAGCCGGCCUGAGAGGGUGAACGGCCACAAGGGGACUGAGACACGGCCCUUACUCCUACGGGAGGCAGCAGUGGGGAAUAUUGGACAAUGGACCAAAAGUCUGAUCCAGCAAUUCUGUGUGCACGAUGAAGUUUUUCGGAAUGUAAAGUGCUUUCAGUUGGGAAGAAGUCAGUGACGGUACCAACAGAAGAAGCGACGGCUAAAUACGUGCCAGCAGCCGCGGUAAUACGUAUGUCGCAAGCGUUAUCCGGAUUUAUUGGGCGUAAAGCGCGUCUAGGCGGUUUAGUAAGUCUGAUGUGAAAAUGCGGGGCUCAACCCCGUAUUGCGUUGGAAAACUGUUAAACUAGAGUACUGGAGAGGUAGGCGGAACUACAAGUGUAGAGGUGAAAUUCGUAGAUAUUUGUAGGAAUGCCGAUGGGGAAGCCAGCCUACUGGACAGAUACUGACGCUAAAGCGCGAAAGCGUGGGUAGCAAACAGGAUUAGAUACCCUGGUAGUCCACGCCGUAAACGAUGAUUACUAGGUGUUGGGGGUCGAACCUCAGCGCCCAAGCUAACGCGAUAAGUAAUCCGCCUGGGGAGUACGUACGCAAGUAUGAAACUCAAAGGAAUUGACGGGGACCCGCACAAGCGGUGGAGCAUGUGGUUUAAUUCGACGCAACGCGAGGAACCUUACCAGCGUUUGACAUCCCAAGAAGUUAACAGAGAUGUUUUCGUGCCUCUUCGGAGGAACUUGGUGACAGGUGGUGCAUGGCUGUCGUCAGCUCGUGUCGUGAGAUGUUGGGUUAAGUCCCGCAACGAGCGCAACCCCUUUCGUAUGUUACCAUCAUUAAGUUGGGGACUCAUGCGAGACUGCCUGCGAUGAGCAGGAGGAAGGUGGGGAUGACGUCAAGUCAUCAUGCCCCUUAUACGCUGGGCUACACACGUGCUACAAUGGGUAGUACAGAGAGCUGCAAACCUGCGAGGGUAAGCUAAUCUCAUAAAACUAUUCUUAGUUCGGAUUGUACUCUGCAACUCGAGUACAUGAAGUUGGAAUCGCUAGUAAUCGCAAAUCAGCUAUGUUGCGGUGAAUACGUUCUCGGGUCUUGUACACACCGCCCGUCACACCACGAGAGUUGGUUGCACCUGAAGUAACAGGCCUAACCGUAAGGAGGGAUGUUCCGAGGUGU
rnacentral:rRNA from 1 species